UUUUUUUUUUUUUUUAAUUGGGAGAGAGAGAAGAGCGCAUGCAUAAGCAGGAGGGGCAAAGAGAGGAAGAGAAUCUCAGGCAGGCUGUGUGCUCAGCACAGAGUCUGACUAGGGGCUGGAUAUCACACCCUGAGAUCACAACCUGAGCUGAAACCAAGAGUUGAAUGCCUAACUGUGCCACCCAGGUGCCCUAACUAUUUCUGAUUCUUCCAUUCUGAGAACUCCACAUGAGCAUAACCAAUCCACUUAAACCACUAUUUUACCUUCAGCUGUUAUAUUUCUCCUUAUACCUUUUAUCCCAUUGGGAAAAAUUUGCCCUUACAGUACUGAUUUGAUCAGAAAAUUAAAAAAAAAAAAAAAAGAUUUUCACAUCGUUCCUUAAACAUCUAUCUAUUAAAAAAAUCUGUUUAAAAUCACAUCUGCAUUCCAAUUUAGCCAAGGGCAGACAUAUGUCACAAAAAGAUUGUUCUUACCAGAUGCUAAAGAGCAUAUCUUAAAUUUGCAUAAUAAAAAUGAAUAUAAGAGGCUCUGCACAGGAAAGUCCUAUAUAUGCUUCACGUGGAAAAUGCUGGUUCUAGUAUACUGAAUACCUUCAGACAGGGCAAAAUAUUCCACUGUUUCACAUUUUAUUAUUUUUAAAAGAUUUUUAAGUAAUCCCUACACCCAAUGUGGGGCUCGAACUUACAACCUGAAGAUCAAGUGUAGCAUUCUCUGUGGACUGAGCCAGGCAAGCGCACGUUUCACGGUUUAGAUUCAUGUAUGAGUGAGUACAUUCUACCACAGGUGAGUUCACAGCAGGAGCAAGUCCACAAUAAUCACAACUGCUUAUGUUGUUGGUACAUUUAAAGUCAGUAAUAGUCAACCUUUUCAGACCAUGUGCUUCAAGCCAGGUAGGUUUACAGAUGGUCCUAGAGUACUCACAAUUCACAUUAAGCAUUUUGUAGGUCCUUUAGCAUUACCCGUUCAUCUUUACAUACAGCCAAUCUUUGAGAUGAUGGUUCUUUCUGAGACAGUAAACAUCCAUCUCCUGGAUUCCUCCCAGGGAUCAUUCUGAGGAAAUGAUUCUCAUAGCUGUUACAACUAUCAGGCACUGGUCUAACCACAACCAAUAGUUCUCAUUGGAAAGUCAAAGGAAAAUGAAGUCAAAAAAUCAGAAAAUUAGUUAACAUGAAUUUUUUCUUCGGGCACAGGGAAUCCUCAAAAGCUCUGAUUCCCUUAGUGGUAUGGCUACCAGUGGCCACCAUCCCCAAAAUGUCAAGGGAACAGACCCCAGCUUUGGCCUGAGAGCUCAUGACAGAGUCCUAGGCAGGACUGCGGAGAGCAGCCAGAAAGGAAAGCACUGAUGAGCGGCAGGCAAAGGGUUAGGAGCACAGAACACAGCGAUAAGUAGAGAGCACUCCUGGAUAUCCACUUCAUGUUUGCUGACUUCAAUUUUUAAUUAUAAUCUAAUUCAGAACUACUGGACCACAAACAAAGCUGAAGAGAGUCGGCUGGCACUUUAGAACUAUACUGUUAUAAUUGAAGAAAAAAUAAGGUGAUAAUAUAUAUGAUUCAUGUUGAAAUAAAAAUUUGGCUAUUUCCUUCUUCUUCCAUGGUUUUCCCCUCAAAUAAUUACAAAGCAAGAAAGCACUGUUUCCAAAAUGCUUGAAAGAGAUUUAGAAGAAACAAAUACUGCAAAAAGACCUCUCAAUGGUCUCAACAGGUCUGGGAAAACGAGACCAGCAGUGGCCCUGAUAAACGUGUGCUAAGUUAAAGGAGUCCAGACAGCAGUGUCAGAGGCUAAGUACAGGUGGCCAAACAACAGGCUCCAAAUGGGGUCAAUGAGGAGGCCUACAACAGGGGUGGGGGGGGGGGGGGAACGCAUGGGGACAGCAGGACACACAUACCACCAUCUGGUAGGAGUUCACUCAACAAUGACCUAUGUGGCCUCAGAGGAGCCACGGCCUCGCUAGACUCAGUUUCUCCUUACACUCAAGAAGUUACACAAAAUACCUUACUCAGAAUGGAGAUGUGGUUUCUUUAAACAAUCUUGCCCAUUUCAUGCUUCCAACCUUCUACACAGAGCCCACCCCAUCACCUAACCUGCAAUCUUCCUGCAACACUCAACCAGAGGGUCCUCCAGCUGCUCCUUCCUUGGGUGCCCUGUCAGGGCCUGAGAUCACCUGCCCCUUCGCCCCUCCAGGCUCCUCCCCACCUGGGGCUCGCAGGCCCAAUGCUCCCCUGGCACCCCCCACACAGGGUGUCCCACCAGGGGAAGAUAGGCUAAGCAGCACCCUAGGGCCCCGGUCUCUGGGGGCACCGCAAGGCUCCUCUCUACCCAGGUCCCUCUCACCAAAGAGCAGAGACUGAGUGGGUUUCCUGACAACUGAAGAACUAACAACUGCCAAGGUAUUCUUUCAUAAAGACCUUCAGUACAAAACUUACGGCUUUGUUCAUAAGCCAAUCACAAAUGUGACCAAAAAAGGUGUGUGUGUGUGGGGGGGGGGGGGAAUGAACACCAAUAAUAAUAAUAAUAAUAAUAAUAAUAAUAAUAAUAAUACCUUUGUUUCCAAACAAAAGCAAGUGAACCAGUUGGGCUAUUUCACUAUGUCCUGAAACAAGCAAAACUACCUAAGGCCUACUUUUACUGUGAAUCUUGUUAACAUUUUAAGUCAGAGUAUACUUUAAAGCACUAAAUAAAAAAGGGUUCUUGGGUACCUCCAGCAGGAGUCAUUGAGUUCAACAGCUAGAUGGCUGCUCUGAGAACAGACACAAAGAUUUACCCCACGGGGUGUCUGCGCAGCAUCCUUUACCAAAGCAGUGUGCAGGAAUCACCCCAAAUGUCCAACAAUCAAACACCAGUUUAACGUCUUACUGUACAAGCAAUGGAAUGGUAGGUCAUCGCGUCCAAAUAAGGAUACUAAAGUGUCUAUGGGAGAAGAGACGAUGACUGGGGCCUGCUUCCACAUAAUCCAGGCAGUAAGAAACAGACGCACCAAGACAGGCCAAGGGAUGAUCACAGAAGCCAAGUGCUGAGCGCUGGGUGGUCACGACCAAUUCUAUUUUUAUGAAUGUCUCA
rnacentral:lncRNA from 1 species